rnacentral:tRNA from 1 species
GAGGGAGACUGGAUAGUUGCAGAAAACUGCUAAUUUACUGUUCUGGGGUUAAACUCCCUGGCUCGCUUG